ACAUACCAAACAGACGUCCCUUCUUCACUUAAGCAACAAAAUAGAAAUGAAAGAUGAUGACAAAGCUAUCUUACCCCAAGAUAUCAUCAUAGAAAUUCUCAAAAGGCUUCCUGUAAAAUCCCUCAUCCGAUUUCAAUCCGUUUGCAAACUUUGGAAAAAUCUCAUCCAAACCCCAGCUUUCAUCACAAACCACCUCCACCACUCAGCUCACAAUAAUCCUUCUCUUAUCCUCAUUAAUUCUUGGUACCCACCCAAUUGUCCGCAUGUAUUCCUACUGGAUUCCAAGAUGGAAAUCGUUGAGGUUCACAAGACACCCUUGUCCAAUUCCUCAAGGGGGGAUGUCAAACUUGUUGGUUCUUGCAAUGGCUUGCUUUGCUUGGAAUUAGAUUACCAUGAUGAUGCAUCUUUUCGUUUUAUUUUGCUGUGGAAUCCAGCCAGUAGAGAGGUAAGACAAGUCACGUCAAUAAAUAAUUAUUGGGGCAUCCACUCCUUGGGAUUUGGGUUUAGUCCUGUAGUUCAUGAUUAUAAGAUAGUAAGAAUUUGGGAAAUCCAUCAAGCUGUGGAAGUAUAUUCAUUGAGCCAAAAUUCAUGGAAACAACUAGAAUUUGGGGUUAAAGAAAGAGUUAGGCAUAUAUUUCAACCAGCUGUGAUUGUUAAUGGGACUAUGUUCUGGUUAGGGAUGGGGAAUAAUGAAGAUGGUUACAUCGUAGUUUCAUUUGACAUAGCAACAGAAGUGUUUUCAUUGAUACCUAUACCUUCUUCAAUCUCCAUUUCUAUUUCAAAACUAAAACUAAUGGUGUAUGAGAAAAAACUUGCCUUGUUUCAAGGUCCUUAUAAGGUUGGAAACAUGGAUUCUUCUUCUUUUUUCCUUGAUUUAUGGGUGAUGGAUCAGGAGAGUAGCUGGGGGGUUGGACUAAGAAAUGUAGUAUUGGUCCAACUUCAAAUUGGUUACAUCCAUUAUGCAUUUGGAGGAAUGAAAUAGUCUGUCAUGAUGCUGUUAAGAUGAAAUAUGGUGUUUCUCCAAUUUCAAGACAUAUUUUUCAUGGAGGUCUCAGUGAUGGAAGUGGAAGUGAAAGUGAAGUGACGUUUGCCUGGCACAGGGUGUCAGAAGAAAGGAAGCAAUAUGGAAACCGCCUCCAUUCGGAUGUAUCAGAGUUGAUGUGGAUGUGGCGCAACUACAGUUGAGAAACAAGCUGCAUGUAGUGGUGUGAUGAGAAAUUCUCAUGGUAAACGGAUUUUUGGAUUCCAGCAAAACUAUCAUCUUGCUGAGCACUGCUGCUGAACCGUGGGCAAUGAGAACAGG